UUCGGAGGAUGCGAGCGUUAUCCGGAUUUAUUGGGUUUAAAGGGUGCGUAGGCGGGAUGCCAAGUCAGCGGUAAAAAUGCGGUGCUCAACGCCGUCGAGCCGUUGAAACUGGCGUUCUUGAGUGGGCGAGAAGUAUGCGGAAUGCGUGGUGUAGCGGUGAAAUGCAUAGAUAUCACGCAGAACUCCGAUUGCGAAGGCAGCAUACCGGCGCCCUACUGACGCUGAGGCACGAAAGCGUGGGUAUCGAACAGG
rnacentral:rRNA from 1 species